GUAGUAGUUGGGUUUGAGGCCCAACUAGCCUGGUGAUCGGUACGUUUCGUGGGAGCAAGAGCCCGAUGAUGGGUAUCUGAGACACGAUUUCAGGCCCUACGGUGCGCAACAGGGGCUGAAGACGUUACGAAUGCAGGAUAUCUGUUAUAAGGGAACUCCGAGUUCUCCGUACACGCGGGCUGUCUGGGUGUUUAAUAUGCACCCGUAUGUAAGGGCCGGGCAAGACCGGUGCCAGCCGCCGCGGUAAUACCGACGGCUCGAGUGGUGACCACUUUUAUUGGGCUUAAAGCGUUCGUAGCUGGACUGUUAAGUCUCUUGGGAAAUCCGUCGGCUCAACCGACGGGCGUCUAAGAGAUACUGGCAGUCUUGGGACCGGGAGAGGUAAGAGGUACUCCGGGGGUAGGAGUGAAAUCCUGUAAUCCUCCGGGGGACCACCUGUGGCGAAGGCGUCUUACCAGAACGGCUCCGACAGUGAGGAACGAAAGUCUGGGGGAGCGAACCGGAUUAGAUACCCGGGUAGUCCCAGCCGUAAACGAUGCGCGUUUAUGGUGUACCGGCGACCACGAGUUGUCCGGAGUGCCGUAGGGAUACCGUGAAACGUGCCGCCUGGGAGUACGUCGCAAGGCUGAUACUCAAAUGAAGUGACGG
rnacentral:rRNA from 1 species